CGGGGAGUAGCGCAGUCCGGUUAAGCGCGUCUGGUUUGGGACCAGAAGGUCCCCGGUUCAAAUCCGGGCUCCCCGA
rnacentral:tRNA from 1 species